rnacentral:misc_RNA from 1 species
GCAAAGAUUCCCAUGGGUAUCCAUGCCAAUGGAGAUAAGAUAGCUUAUUAGGAAGAGAUUGAAGACCAUCACAUGACUGCAGUGUAGAUUUUGAUAUAAAGCCAGUAGGGUUUUUCCAUGACAAAGAGCUGCUGUGAUAGAAUUUAAGCAAUCUCAUAUUGCACAUUCUUGAGAAGGUUACAGGACUUAAGUUUACCUUGUCAAUUUUGGAGAUGUCUAGGAAGAUACCUUCAGUUGCAAUAGUUCCCUCAUUCCUUGUCAAUACAGGAUAGAUAUUUUCAGGAAUCCAUAAUCUGCUACAUUCGCUGGGGUUUUUGCUUGAUUCUUGCCAAACAAUAUCCUGGCCCAUUUCUUGUAGCAAAUCAUGC